rnacentral:tRNA from 1 species
GGAAUAAUAGGUAAAAGGUUUACCACGUGAUUGCAGAUCAUAGUUUUGAGGUUCGAUUCCUCAUUAUUCCU